rnacentral:rRNA from 1 species
UACGUAGGGUGCAAGCGUUUGUCCGGAAUUAUUGGGCGUAAAGAGCUCGUAGGCGGUUUGUUGCGUCGGCUGUGAAAUCCCGAGGCUCAACCUCGGGUCUGCAGUCGAUACGAGCAAACUAGAGUGUUGCAGGGGAGACUGGAAUUCCUGGUGAUAGCGGUGAAAUGCGCAGAUAUCAGGAGGAACACCGGUGGCGAAGGCGGGUCUCUGGGCCGAAACUGACGCUGGAGGAGCGAAAGCAUGGGGAGCGAACAGG